rnacentral:tRNA from 1 species
GUCUUCGUGGCUCAGUUGGCUAGAGCGUUGGUCUCAUGUUUCUAUGAUCCAAUCCAAGAUUGGGAUAUCCAAAGGUCGUGAGUUCGAGCCUCACCGAGGACA